AUGCCCCGUCCAGCGUCGCGUGAAGGUUCACCCCUCGCGAGCUCGUCCUCACCGGCCGGCCAUGCGCACCCCAGCUCCUCCGGCCGCGCAGCGGAGCCUGUCCACACCCCGAGCUCCUCCUCACCCGCCGGUCCUGCGCUCCGCCUCGCGAGCUCCACCUCGCCAUCCACGACCUCCCUCGCGUGCCUCCCCGCGACGCAGAAGCGAGACAGCUCCCGAGCGCGGCUGCACCAGAGUUGUGCGGCUGAGCAGGGCCAUCCCCGACCUCUCUCGCGUGCCUCCCCGGGGCGCCAGAGCGAGUCAGCUCCUGAGCGCGGCUGGGCCGGAGUUGCGCGGCUAAGCAGGGUCGGGCGGCGGCGCGGGGAGAAGAACGGCAGAGCGGCGAGGCGAGCGUCAAACUGCACGGCGGGGCGGGCAGAGAACCGCGGUAGAAAAGAAGGACCCGAUUGCUUUUCUGUCUUACUUGUUAGGGUCCUUUGUAUUAAUUUCCAGGACUACUCUGUAACUUUAGGGUUUUUUUGGGGUCAUAUUUGCAUUUUGUAUUUCACUAACGUUGAGUGGAAGGCACUACACACGGAUGGGCCUUUCCCUGUUAAAAAAGAAGAAAGAUAA
rnacentral:rRNA from 1 species